AGCGUGGGGACCAAACAAGAUGCAGUAGCCUGGGAGGCCACGCCGUAAACGAUGAUCCCGAGGUGUUGGGGGGCAAACCUCCGCACCCAAGCUAACGCGAUAAGUGAUCCGCCUUGGGAGUACGCACGCUAGUGUGAAACUCAAACGAAUUGACGGGUACCCGCACCAGCGGUGGAGCAUGUGGUUUAAUUCGACGCAACGUGAGAAACCUUACCAGCGUUUGACAUCCUAAGAAGUUUCCAGAGAUGGAUUCGUGCCGGCUUGCCGGAACUUAGGGAGAGGUGGUGGCUGGCUGUCGUCAGCUCGUGUCGUGAGAUGUUGGGUGAAGUCCCGCAACGAGCGCAACCCGUAUUGUAUGUUGCUACCAUUAAGUGGAGCACGCAUGCGAUACUGCCUGCGAUGAGGAGGAGGAAGGUGGGGAUGACGUCAAGUCAUCAUGCCCCUUAUACGCGGGGCUACACACGUGCUACAAUGGG
rnacentral:rRNA from 1 species